GGCCCGUUUAUUCACAAAACGGCGUCGAUUAAAUCAAGCUGCCUGCUAUAUCUUUUCCCUUUUCUUUUAAUCUCGAUUUUUUCCCCCUUUCUCCUCUCUUCCUUCUACCGCCGCAAUUGCUGACCGCCGCUCCGCCAUCAUCUUGUUGGGAAGUACGUCUGAAAAACACCUCCCUGGAAGAACAGAUAACGAGGUGAAGAAUUUCUGGAACUCCACAAUCAAAAAGAAGCUCGCCGCCCAUCAGAAGAAGCUCGCCGCCGCCGCCGCCAAGGCUGCCUUAAUCUCUCCCAACAAUCUUCCUAUCGCCGCCGCCGCCGGAAUGAUUCCCCUGCACAUGGACCAAAUCUACAUCCCCAAACCCUACCAGGGUUUCGAUCCGGUUCGAGUUCGAAUACGCUAAUUACCAUCCCGUCGAUACUCCACCGAUUCCCGACGAAACUUCGUCAGCGGCGGCCGUGCAAGAAACCCAAGCUGAAGACGACCAAGGUUCAUCAUCAAUGGCGGCCGCCGUGCAGUACUCUUCAUCUGCUGCUUCGCAAGAGCCUCUUGAUCUCAUCUUAUAAAGUUUAUUCUGAACUGGAUUUAUUUUCUUUGUUGCCUUGCUUCUCGCCGCCUCCGCUGCACUUCUCCAAGGUUUCACCAUUGUUGCAACGAAAAAGGAAGAAGAAAAAUCAAAGCAAAGAAUAACAAAGAUAGAGAAAGGAACAAAAUGACAGUCUAUACGGCCAAAAACCGUAGGAUGAGAGGUACACAAAUUUUGGAUUGGAAGUUGUUUCCCUUUUCUUUAAGAUCCUGAGCCCAACAAUUUAGCCAUUGCCCUUUCUUCCGAUUUUAGUUUAUGGUGCACGGAAGUUGACAGCCAGUCCUUCCAUCCAUAGACAUGGACGUGCAACUUCCGAGAGGUUCGAUAUUUGUGUAAUUUGUGUUUUCUGUUACCUACAAGAGGGAAUCAUAGGAGAACGAAUUUGUGCUCAAUUAUGCUUCCAUGCUCUUGACUAGAUUGUCCAUGUAUUUGUGCAGAUUGUAGUAUCGUUACGGGAAAAUACUUUUGCGCUACUGAAAAUUAAAGGGAAGAAAACAGGGGGCAAUGCACAGCCGGCUUUACACCACAUCAAAUGCCACUCUUUAUUUGUGUGUUUUCCUAUUGUGGUUUUUCGGUUUUGUAUUGACUCAACAACUCUUCUCCUACUAUCAGUAAUCGCACGAUUUCAUCGUCGACCUUUUGCACGA